rnacentral:misc_RNA from 1 species
CACGUACUGGGCGAACGUUAUUCGGAAUCACUGGGCUUAAAGGGUGCGUAGGCGGCCGACUAAGUCAGGUGUGAAAGCCCUCGGCUCAACCGAGGAAUUGCGCUUGAGACUGGUCGGCUUGAGUGAGAUAGGGGUGUGUGGAACUUCCGGUGGAGCGGUGAAAUGUGUUGAUAUCGGAAGGAACGCCGGCGGCGAAAGCGACACACUGGGUCUCAACUGACGCUGAGGCACGAAAGCCAGGGUAGCGAACGGG